rnacentral:rRNA from 1 species
AGGGGCAGCGGGGGAGUAGCAAUACUCCCGCCCUCGACCGGCGCACGGGUGAGUAACACGUAUGAAACCUGCCCGUAGCAGGGGGAUAAGCGGAAGAAAUUCCGUCUUAUACCGCGUAACAACCCUUGGAGGCAUCUCCUCGGGUUUAAAGGAAGCGAUUCCGGCUACGGAUGGUCAUGCGUCGCAUUAGCUUGUUGGCGGGGUAACGGCCCACCAAGGCGACGAUGCGUAGGGGUUCUGAGAGGAAGGUCCCCCACACUGGUACUGAGACACGGACCAGACUCCUACGGGAGGCAGCAGUGAGGAAUAUUGGUCAAUGGCCGCAGGGCUGAACCAGCCAAGUCGCGUGAGGGAUGACGGUCCUGUGGAUUGUAAACCUCUUUUGUCAGGGAGCAAAGGGCGUCACGUGUGGCGCUUUGCGAGUACCUGAAGAAAAAGCAUCGGCUAACUCCGUGCCAGCAGCCGCGGUAAUAUGGAGGAUGCGAGCGUUAUCCGGAUUUAUUGGGUUUAAAGGGUGCGCAAGCGGAAUGUCCAGUCAGCGGUAAAAUUUCGGGG